rnacentral:lncRNA from 1 species
CUGUGUGGGCCCUGGGCCUGUGUCUCGGGCCUUGUUGGUGUUUCCAGUUGGGAGAGUCUCACCUCUGGCAUGACCCUCCACAGUGAUAGGCUCCUCACACAGGCCCUGGGGAGAGGUCCCUUUCCAUGGAUGUACCAAGGCUGACUAAGGAAAACUGGGGCUGCCGCUCCACAAGGAGCAGGGAGGAAGGCAAUCAGGACCUAAGGGGGUUCUUAACACAUCUUCUUGUGUGGUGUCAGUCAGGACACCACAAAGGUUAAUGUUAGGCCAACUACCACAACCCCACCCUAUGGGGGCCCCCAGGGUCACAGACUUCUGAGACAUCAUGACAGCUGAGGUGCUGGCUGAAGGCCAAGGGGGAACACAGAAUGACUGGGAGACGAAGUUAUAAAUAGCAGCUUGACCAGUUACAGGAAAAAAGGACUGUGGCUUCCACCACAGGUUUCUGUGCUUACAGUGAGAGAAAAAUCCUUUAUUUUUUAUCAAUUGGAAACUUUUUUGAUUUGACUUAUUUUGUUAACAGUCAUGGAAAAACACUGACACAGAAAAAAAUAUCAAGCAGAAUUAACUUAAAAAAAAAAAAAGCCCCAUUCCUUACUACUUUCUUCCAAGUCCCUUUUCCUCCCCAGAGGCAACCACUGCCAUCAGUUAGGUUUGCAGCCUUCCAGACACUUUUAUGCAUUUUCAUAUAUAGUUUGGUUUUAUAAGGUUUUAUUUUAUCAAUACAUCAAGAUUAUACAUAUUGCUCCACAAUAUGCUUUUUUUACUUAACAUUAUGUCUUGGAGAUCUUUCCAUAUCAGUGCAUACCAUUUUUAACUGCUGCAUAGUAUUAACUCCAUACAACUAAAAUAUCUAACUUGCUCUCAGGGACAUGCAUCACUUUACAUUUUGAAACCAAGCUACUCCCCAAACUGCCCUGAAAAGGCUGCUAUUGUUACAUUCACACCCACAGCACGAGUGCUGCCAUUUCUUCUCUUUGUAGUCCAAACUAGAUAUUAUCAUAAAGAAAAACUAUCACUUUCUGAUGGACACAAUCAGUUUCAUUGUCGCAUUAAUUCACACAGCACUGAUUGCCAGUGAGGUUGAUCGUUAGGGACACAAUCAGUUUCAUUGUCGAGUUAAUUUACACAGCACUGAUUGCCAGUGAGGUUGAUCGUUAGCAAUAGCCAAGCUGUUGAUGCUGAAAACAGCUCUCCAACUGUUGGGAGGAGUCUGAAUUAGUACAAUCACUUAGGACAGCAGUUUGGCAAUAUCUAGUUAGAAUGAAGAUGCUCUAACCCUAAGAUGCCCAAAUUUUACCUCCAUGUACUUACCCUAAAGAAAUUCACACAUGUGUACAGAGGAACAUCUUUUAAUUCUGUUCACUGUUGCAAAACACUGGGAAGAAACUAAAUACCCACCAGUGAGAGAAUAGAUAAAUAACUUGUGGUAAGUGUACAAUGGGAUAUUUAGUAUACAGCA